rnacentral:lncRNA from 1 species
CUGAGUCAUAGAAAUUCAAAACAGACCAAAAUAAAUCCUGUCUCUGUCUCCAAAUCUCAGUUCUUCAGAGAGGGUUCCUUCUGCUUUUCUAAAUCAUGUGGAUGGGCCAUGGAAGACCAGCUCUUGCCGACAGGGCAUUUCCCAGUCUGCUUUCCAAGCGAGGAGCCAAUUCUGACACCAUCCAAAACUUCAGUGAAUCUCAAUGCACAGCCUCACAGAAAUUAUUUUGCCAUGAAACACAAGAGAAUUAUUUCAUCUGCCAUGAAGUGACUUGUGGACAUCCUACGUGCCUUAAGAAAUGCAGGCCAAUGGAAAAAGGCUUGAACAGGGGCCAUAGAUAAGUAAUGGCAGUCUGGAGAAUACUUUCAAAGAAUGGUUCAGACUAAAUAAAUCCAUGGGCUAUGCCUUUCCUGGGCUAAGC